GUUCAUGUUCUCGUGACUCCUGAUUUUCUUCUUGCAGAUGACUUUGGACAGCGUGCCUUGGUGGGCAAGGUGUGUAUGGACAGGAACAAUUCUGUGAAACAUUACAAAGAGACCAAUCAGGAGUCUCAAGAGGAAACCUGUCGGUUCAUUUCAGAGCUCCUGAACAAAAAGUACCCUCUCGUGAAGCCCGUGGUGACCCCCCGCUUCGCUCCAUCCUGCACAGGGGCCUUGCUUGGACAGCUGGGAGCAAUCGCUAAGAAUAACAACCUGCACAUUCAGGUGAGCUCACCGUGACAACCGAACCAGGCUAAGUCCCCGAGGAGUCCUUGGGACUGUCGCCAUAGAGAAUGUUCAGUGUUUGGACCUGUGGGGUUUUUGAACAAUUGAAAUAAAUACAU